ensembl:lncRNA
CUCGGCGCUGCCGGCCCGGGCCCGGCGUACGGGGAGCGGCGCGGUUACCCUCGUGAGACCGGCUCGGGACGGGACGGGCCCGGCCGGCGGGCCGCCUCGGUACUCGCAGAGUCUGUGGUUUUCACGUACCACGCUUAGUGCAGCACCAACAGAUUAACAGAAGAACCUUGAAAUUGCAGAAUGUUGCUCCUCAGACCAAGGCUGCCAUGGUCCAGGCAGACAUUUUAGAUUCUUACCUGGCACCAUUGCUAUCUGGGGUAUCUCCACAACACAGGAAAUUAAACGAUCAUUGCUCAGCCAUCGUUUUUCAUUUUAUCUGCUAGUCCACAACUGACCCAGGUUAUUCAGAGAGAAGAAAAAAAUGUUUUAUGGAGGUAGCAUCCCAUUCAGUGGUCAGUAGAAAACUAAGUGAGCGAAUCGCUCUCUUCAUCAACGCAUGCGUUAAGUGCUUCCAGUGGCUCUUCUUCUAGUUGCUGAAACCGAGUAGUGAAUGGAUUAUAGGGAUUAAACUUCUUUCAUUCCCCUAGAGGUGAGCAAGUCAUGUGAAAAUGAAAGGCUUAUUUGGUAGAAGACAGUAUGAAAGACUGGGAAUACAAAAAUAUAUAUGUAUUAUCUCUAAAUGGCUUCUUGCACACUUUGUCUAUAAUAGAUGGUAGUAUGUGAGCUGCAGACAGAAACUUGAGGCUCGCAGGGCAGAAAUGUGACUGUGAACUGAAUCUACGAGUAUGGAAUGAAACAUGCUUGGUCAUUAUUGAAACUGGAUUUCUGAAACAUUUUUCUUUCAUCAUAAAUCUGAUAUUUCUGAAGAAAAACAUACCUGUUCUUAGCAUAUGCUUUCUCUUUUUCUUCUCUUGACCUAUUUGAAUUAGGAGGAAGUUGCCUUUCCCACUGUAGUGCUGGGAACACAGUAUAAGGGCUACAGCAAAGGAAUAUUUUCUGUCUUGAAGUGCUCAGGUCAUCCUGCAAGGCAUUCCGCUGCAAAAGGAGUCACUUUCACCGGUGUCACCAGUUACUGUCGUCCUCUUAUGCUGAUGUUUCCAGAGGGGUGGCGUUUCAUACCCCCUGAAUAGGUGGCCUUCUACAUGGGAGCGUUAUUCUGGUGUCUUUUGUCUCUUAUGUAGUUUACUUCCUCAUGUUCCGAGAAUGAAAAACAGUCAAAGGAGAGGAAACGAUAGACUAGCUCCCUUAGAAGAGCCUCUCCUAGGAAAAAAUAGCUCAGAACCCCUAAAAUGAUCAUACAGUUGGUAGAAAAGCUGCUGGAUGUUGUCGUUAUAGCAGCAUCUACAGGAAUAGAAAUAGCAAGAAGAGAAGAGGAAGGCUGGCAUUCCCUCGCUCUCUCUCCAACUUGUGAAAAUUUUAGGAAGGAAAUUUACAUAUUUUGGAGCUACAUUUUCUGCAGUGCCUUCUUAUGCAGAAGGAAAGUUAAUCAAGCUAUCUUAUUAGAUAAAAGUAUUUUCUGUACUUGUUUCAGAGAGGUGGUGGUCGUUUCUGUGGAAGGGGUUCAAAUGAUUAGCACCAUUCUUAACUGUUGUAUUCAGGGAGAUGACAGCUUGAUUUAAACUAUGAAGGUGUGAUGAGUUUUGCUCUCCCACCGCCAUGCACAAAGAAGCACUCAGAGAAGACAGACUUAACUGGUUUGAGCCAGGCAGCGGUCUGCUACCAUAAAUUCCCCAACAUUGUAUUGCCCUUUGAUGCUUCAGUUACAAUCCCUGAAUGGAAGACUGGAGCAUGUGGUUGUCUUUUUGGCAUCUGAAGCUGAGGCUGCCGAGUUGCCUGCCUGGGACAUUAGUGAGACUAUCUGCCUCUUAAGGAUACGCAACAGAUUUUCUCUUAGCUCCUGUCCCUACUAGUGCUCUUCUUAGCUCCUGUCCCUACUAGUGCUCUACUUAACUCUGUGCCAAGACACUGGCAGCGGUCAAUACAGAAAAACUUCUGGAAGUACCAGGUUGUGGCAGGGCACCAGGACCAUCCAGCAUGUGAAUGUUUGAGGAGGCGCUGGAGGAACAAGGACUUCCCUAAAGGAUGUGACAGCAAAGCCACUCCACUGGAAUAUGGAAGAAGGGAAGCAGUUAUGUGGAAGAGAUGAAGUGCCGUGUGAUUCCUGUCCCACGGAUAGGAUCCAGCUGGUGCUAGACAAAGUCUGUCAGUGACAGCACUUGGAUUGGAUGGAGGUGGGUGGAGGGCUUGGGCACAGUUUCCCACUCAGUACACUCCACAAAAGGAUUCAGUGAAAGAGGGAUGAGUGUGUAAUGCAGGGUGGUGGGUGAAAAGAGGUCAUAGAUGAGGAGAAAAAGGUUUCUUAUCAAUUGAAGUCCAUCAUCUGGGUCUGAAAGUGACUUCAUCGUGCAAGGUGACACUGCAUGCUGGCAGUGGCAUGAGGGACACGCAUUCCUGAACUUUGUUCAUUUUAUAUGGACAAAUAUCUGUAUCCCUUAUCUACAGUUACGAAACUAGAUAGCAGAGACAUCAAGGAUUAAACAAUGAGAACACAGUAUUUUGUUUCUACAGAUGAUAUUUUCAGCUCAAAAUCAAUACAUUUCAAUGGGCUGUAGGAUUGAGAAAGGUUAAUCUUCUCUCGCUGCAGCCCGUACUGUGUCUCUUCACUGAAGACGUUCUGUGCUUGGAUUUCUGCAGCAUGCACGACUGUUAGGGUUGUUUUGAAGAAAUACUUGCUUGAUUUUCAGUACUGCUGGUGAUUGAAAAAACAAACCCCCAAAACCUUCAUGUGUAUGUUUUACUCAAAGUUUUUCCCGUUUUGCAUGAGGAGUGGAUCUGGAGCCUCGCUGUAAUAAUCUCAUUGCAGUAAUUUAUGAGAACUCUGAACAGGGAAUGGCAAAAAAAUAAAAAAUAAAAAGGAAUUAUGAGGUUUGACAAGAGACAGCAGAGCUCACUUGCUAAUUCAGGGUGGGGAGAAGUCAAAAAUCCCUGUAUAAAGUACUAGAAGGUUAUAGCGCUGUUAAUGUUGUUUCCUAUUCUAUUUAAGAGAAAUGGAGUGGACCUAUUCAUAAAGAUGAGUGUACACCUGUGUGACGUGAAAAUUACAAGCUGUAGACUUGACUAGUUAAUAUGCAAACAACUGUCUUGCUUUCAUUUCUGGUUAGCGUCCAUUGCUGCCUUUAUCUGGCAUGAUUAGUUGUUGAGAAAUACAGGACAUUAAUCCCUAAAGCAUGAAGGUGUGCAGGUGAUGCCUCCGUUUCCUUUAAGAAACAAGAAGAGAUGUGCAAUUGUGUCAUUAGCACAGUGUGGUAAUCUAAGAAGCCUCUAUGAUUUAGUUUGAAAGAUCUGUGUUUCAGGCUUGUGUUUACAGGUUCCUGUCCCUCUAAUAGAAACUGCAGUCAAAGGUGUGCGAAUGCAGGGUUUGAGAAACAUUCAGAGCAGGCAUCGUGCCUGUUUGCUGGUACAGGUGCUGUCAGGAAGGGGAGGGAAUACUGAGUUUCUGAGUUCCUUUUGCGUGAGCCCUGUAAAAGGGAUGGGGGAGGUGCCUUAGAAAAGCCUCAGGAUUGGGAAUCCCAAGCAAGAUAGCUUGCUUCAACCUGGACCUGGGAUCCAUAUACAAAGUGUCCUGAGAGAUUUAUUGACCUGUCCAUCUGGUUCAUGUAAAGAGCUUUUCACUUAACCAGGCUGGUCAAAACCCAUUCUUAUAUACUCUUCUGCAUUAUACGCUGAGGCAGGGCGUCUAAUUUGGAGCUUUGGAUUUGGGCAAAGAAACAGUGCAGCGCUCAGCAGUGCAACAGCCGGGCCCCAUACUGAAUCUGGCCUCACUGCAGUGUGUGUGAGUAAUGGUAACAGAGUCAUAAGAACAGAAUGACUGUACGGGGGAGAGAGCUGCACUUGACUUGCUAGGGUGAAAAACAUAUUUGUAAAGGGAUUCAAUUAGUGCUGGGUACAAGAAUGCCACUUAGUGAAACAAGCGACUGUACCUCUUUUUCAGUGGCAGAGAAAAGUGACACAUCCUGGAUUACCAGCAGUCCCCGUUCCUAUUCUCUGUGUCCCUGCAGAGCUGAUGGCACCGCAGGCUGGGUUAGUCAGAGCCGAGCGAGGGAUGAGUGCCAGCCCCAGUGCGCUGUGCUGCCUGGCCACCCGGCUGCAUGCCCAGCCUGCCAGUGCGGGGGAUUCCCGGCUGUGGGGCCUGCAGGGAGGGGCCCUCAGUACUAGGGGAGAGGGGCAGGAGGCACUGAGCACGUGGGAGGGGCUGCGGUGUGAUCUCACCGAUGUGGGGCUGCCUAGGGGGUACUUGCAUGGCAGCAAGGUCACAGGAGAUCUUGAAAAUAACAAUUGAAUGUCUCUAAUGAUUGGCUGUGCCAUCUUCUCUUCACUCUGGUUUAUUUCUCCUUUUUGCCUUCUUUAGAUUUCUCCCUGUCUAUAGCUCUGCCUCCUCAUUUUUCAUUUUUUGUUUGCUGUUUUACUCGCACACGUUCUUACUCCUUCAGCUUUCCUAACUUCUUUCUCUGUUAUCUCUCCUGUGAUCUGCCAUACAGUUGGGCCACCUUCCAUGCGAUGGAGCAACGUAGCUAUGCUGUAGGUUGCCUUAUGCUUGCAACACUGCAACCCCGAGGAAGUCUGCAUCUGCAGAGAUCUGCCUUCAUGCCUGGACUGAUAAGCGACGCUGGGGAAGCGUCUUGGCCAGAUGCUGCUGCAGUAUCCCGCCUCCUCAUCGCAUCGCCCUCUGGAAGACAGAAGUGACGAUCAGCAGCGUGGUGUUGUCCUGCAGGCAGCUGAGGAACCACUUUGACAGCAAGCAGGAGAACAACUAUGCAGUGUAAUCACAGCCUGUCUGUGCUCUUUCUAACAAAGUACAGGAGCACCCUAUUCCCAGCGAGGGGAUGCUGUAACCUCCCCCUGCUGACCUGUAUUCUUCUCCGUUACUGUAACCAAGCUGUUUCUUUCCCACGGCCACGCGUUCCUGCAGAUAUACCAAGGGUUCCCAUGCAGAUAGGUUUACAAAUUCAGGAAGGGCUUGGACAGAGCAAAAGGAGAAUGAAGUAAUUCCCAAAUAUUUGCACUGUGGCUGAUGAAAUUAGCAGGAGAGCUGAGUGGGUGUAUAGGGGUCUGCUGGGGGACGGAUGGAAGGAAACCUGGGGACAAACUGUCUCCUGUUCAACGUGCUCUGAGUGCUGUGUGAUAAAGGUGAAUCACCCAGCUUAGCUGCAGGUGAGCCAGCAGGACAGUGGCUGGGGCCGGGUCCCACUGCAGCCUGUGUGGGGGCUGUGUGCUGGGUCCGGUGGGCUUUGAAUCCCACCACAAAGACAGUGGCUGUCGACAAGGUCACGAACGCAGAGCUUCGCCUUCUGUUGAUUAUGUGGUUGUCAGUGGAAGAAUUACUGUGUAUCUAUGGGAAAUGUUAAAAAACAACAACGCCUUUUUUUCUUGAAUAAAUCUGUGAAACGAAC